GGUGGGGUGGGGGGGUCUUUUCUUUUUUUCCUUUUCUUUUCUUGCCGAUGCACCGCACAAUCUUUUAAGACUGGGCCCUGGGGAGGGUGCACAAGUUGGAUGCUACUACCCUAGGUUCUCGCUUGCCCUGUGGAAGAGCCUCUCCUGGCUCCUCUUCAGCCUAGGCACUCCCUAGAGAAGGGCGUUGAUGUUCGCCUCCAGUCACCUGCCCCUCCCUCUCCACCACUGCCUUCGCGCAACACCUCCUAUUUGAACACAGGGGCGGAGGCGGGGGACGCGGGGAGUUCCUGUCCUCCGCCAGAGGGCGCCGAAGUGAAGCUCCCACGAUCCCUUCCAGGUCAAAGGCCAGAACGUUGGGACUGGUGGUUGUUGUACGAUUAUUGGCGACAACCAGUUGUGCUACCAUAAUGGCCUCUUGGCAAAACGUGGCAUCCAUAUGCAGCCCCGGCCUUCCUUUUCCUACGCACCAUUUUAGGAGUUCUGCCCAAAAUGUGUAUACAGUCCACUUAACGUUUAUUUUCCCUUGUUUCACUUGUAGCAUUCGAAGGUGAGAAGAGUCCUCAAACAGUGAUGACGUUUCCCGUCCACAUUACUCAAGGGAAGUUUAUUGAUAUACUCAGUGUUAUUUAAUAAUAAUGUAUGCAGCAUUUUUAAUGUGCAUGGUUCUUCACAAUCUUCAAUAAGGAUUAAAAACCACAUACAGAAAUCCCACAAGAAUGUUAUUAUUACUUGAAGAGGAGGAAGUAUUUUUUUUUAAAAAUCUUGACUCCCGAGGUUUCUUUUUCUCACACAAAAUUGACAGAAGUCGCUCUAUUCAAUGAGCAGAAAAGGGCCAUUAAAACCAAGUCCAAAAGAGUUGUCAUCCAUAUUAUUAAUACUGUCUCCAGUAGCAUUUAAUUAAUUGCACUACUUCUAAUAAUGCAGCCAGCCUUUUUAUUUCCUGCUCUUUUUAAUGUGUGGUGCAGAUGUACCACUCUUUCUAAUCCUGGCUGAACUGAUUGAUCUGUGCAAACUUUGCAUGAGUAACCAUGAACAGAAGCUUUAGGAAUCCUGGGUUUGCUUUGAAGCCAUGAUUUCCACCACCCCCCCACCCUUUCCUCUGGAUUAUAUGAGCUCUUAAAAUAUGCAACCUGCACCCCCCUCUCUUUAGCAUUUGACAUGGUGUCAGUAGGAAAAGUUGGAGUGCCGGUGGGAUUUUUGUUUUGCUUUGUUUUAAAUGUUGCACUAGAGGGGAGGGAUUUGACAUCUCAUUCUUCCUCUUGUCACUCUGAAAGGGACAAGAAAUGGACCAUGCCAGAGACAGAGGACACUUGAGGCAGAGACUGGGCCUGGAAAUUCUGAAUUGAAGGCCUUUUCCAUGAUUAGCACACAACUGAGGAAGCUUUGUACUUUCACUUAACAUAUCAACUGUGUGUGUGUGUGUGUGUGUGUGUGUGUGUAAUGCUUCCUGCUAGGUAUAACAAUGCAUGCCUGAUUUGCAUGGAUUUUCAGUAAUUUCCAAUAACAUGAUUAACAUAGGACCCCAAAACAGCCAUUCCUUUUCAAUGGCAUUUUAUCUUUAAGCAUGUUAUCAGAAAUAAGUGGAAACUUGCUUCAGAUAAGCAUCAUGUAUACAAGCCCCCUACAGGUUCUACUUUGGAAAAUGCACACCCAAAGCCAUCUUACUAGUCUACACAUUUUAGAUGUUGUUUGCAGUGGCAGCCAUAUAUAACCACAUAGCAUAGAGAUGGCAUCUUCUAACCCAUUACACAAUUUACCAUAUGGAUCCUCUACAUUAUGAGUAGCCACAUCAGUACCAUUUGUUCUUAGUGACUGCUGGCACUAGCAAAGAGACUCAGCAGAGAAUCCAUGUGACAAGCAAUGCCGCAUUAUCAUCUUCUCUGCUGUAUCACAGGGACAGUUUUGAUGCCUCAGUAAGGAUUAUAACAUGGAGAUUGUCCUUAAUGCUCUAGGACCCUAGAAUCUCCAGAAUCUCCAGUGCAUUUAAAUUAGAGAAUAUAGACAUGUGCUUACUUGAUUCCUAACCCUGAACUCUUCUGCUUGGGAAUAAAAUCCCAUUGAAAUCAGUAGGGUUCAUUUCCAAGCAAAUGUGUUUAGACUGAGAGGACACUCCCUUUGACAUAAAUAAUUUCAAGAAGUCCAGACACUGUGACUCUUAAACUAUUGACUGAGAAACAUCUAGGCUGCAUGUUCUUUGGGAUUCACAGAGGAAGUUGGGGCUCACAUUCACUCUUUCACUAUAUGAGGGCCAUAUGAACUGGGGCAGAGACAAGCACACAAUGGGAGGGGAGGGGAGAGAGAGAGAGAGAGAGAGAGAGAGAGAGAGAGAGAGAGAGAGAGAGAGAGAUGGGCAAGGGAGGUAGCUUUCUAUGAUUCUUCUAUGAUCUGUUGAUGGGGUAGGUAGAAAUAUAAAGGGGAAAAGGAAAGAUUGUGCCAUCGCAGUAUGAGAUGAUGCCUUUGCCAUUGUGAUAUAGGUGACUACAAAUAAAUAUAUAUUUACUAGGCACAGCCUGGGAAGCACACCGAUGGGGAUUUGAACUAACAGCUUCUUGCUCCCGAGGCAAGCUGCUUCGCUGCUGCACCACCACAACUGAUAGGUAGAAAUAUACUAACCUCCUUAUACUAACUAAUGGAGGACAGGUCUAUCAAUGGCUACUAGUCUGGUGACUAUAGGUCACCUCCAACCUCAGAGGCAGAAUGCCUCUGAAUACCAGUUGCAGGGGAGUGACAGCAGGAGAGAGGGCAUGCCCUCAACUCCUGCCUGUAGGCUCCCAGUGGCAUCUGGUGUGAAACAGGAUGCUAGACUAGAUAGGCUUUGGGCCUGAUCUAGCAGGGUUGUUUUUAUGUUCUUAUGGUCUUAACUAUGGUUGCAGUUAGUUUCUAAUUGAUAGAUUUUCUCUCUCUCUCAAGGGAGAGACAAUAAAUACAAGUAGAGAGACCUGGAAUUCAUUACCAAAACAAUCCCAAAUAAAUAGAGAGGAACACACACCCAUUCCCACCCAGUUUGACUGCUGUUGAGUCCUUGUUCAGCUUUAGGUAUUUGGGGCACAUUUUUAAAAACCUUCCUGAAACUGAAAUGGAUGUUCACAGCUGUGUGAAAUGACAGACAGAUAUAUAUUUUGUUAGAUCACUGGCUCUCAAGGUUAUCAAUGUUGGUGUGGGCAGGGCAUGUUCCUACUAGGGCACAGGCAGGGGCAUCAUUAGGGGGUGGUCCAUGGGGCACAGGCCCCCAAUGAAUUUCUCAGAGCUCUAGAUCUCAUCAGUCACAUCCCUCCUCCAUUACCUCUUCCAGAAAGGAAGUGCAGCAGUGGAGGCAUUUGCACAGAUCAUGGGAAAGGGCUCCUAGUUUCAUCUAGCUCUCUGCUGCUUCAGAGGUGCUGUAUUAUAAUAUAAGAAACUUUUUUAAAAAAAACAAAACCCUGUAAUUAUGCUUGUGGGGAGGUAUGACUGGAUUUAGUUAUCAGAAGGGGGGUUGUGGGUCGUUUAAGUACUGUACCUAGCAACAUCCCUAGGCACAGGAUCAGAGUGGCUGACAUCCUGACUAACAAAGCACUUGCAGAAGGACAUUGUACUAGUGCAAAGCUGUUACACUUGUGCCAGAUCUGGAGCUUAUGUUCCAGACAAGUGUUGUCCUACCACAACCAUACUUGUGCGACAGUGUGCAACUGCAGUAGCAUGUCUCCAUUGCACAAAGAAUGAGGUGUCCAACCCCUCCCCUCUAGAUCAGCAUUCUAAAUAAAGCAAAACAAAAAUAUUACCAGCACUACAACCUUUCCUACUAACACCAUAUCAAAGGCUAAAUCCCUGUGUUUUUAGUGCAGCUAUGUGGUCUUCUUGUGCUACCACAAGGGUGCUAAUUACACAAAUGAUGCAUUCAUUAGGAUGCCAGUCACUGUGUUUUAUGUAAUGGCAGCUAGGAAGUUCAAGCUCUAGUAGAUGUUUCUUCCAACAGGGCUAACAGUAAUAUGGGUGGGAAGGAAGGAAGGAAGGAAGAUAAAAUGUUUGUCUGAACUACAGUGUAAUAGAACAAACUGCACACAUUUUGAUAGUUCUAUAAUUACAGUUAAUUAACAGGUAAGUUUUGCACUGGACAUGCAAGCAAUCUCUGUUGAUGGGUAGCAGUGUGAGCUGCAGGGUUCUUUCAGCCUAGGGCCCUGAGAUUUGUCAGCCUGUCCCCAAGUGAGAUAAGUGUUACCCCAGGCAGGGCUUCAACAGAAAACAUUCUGUGCCCCAGAUGCACUUUGAGUGUCCAGACUGUAACAAUAGGGCACAGCCAUAUUCUCUCCAGUAAUUUCUCAGGAAAAAGAUGCAAGAUCAUGAUGUUGCUUCCUUUCCUGGUGCAUUAUAGGGUGAAACCAGGAAAGGAAAGGUGACAAUUUUAAAGGCUGCCACAGCAGCCGUUUCCAUGACAGAAGCUGGAUCUUCAUUAAAGGCCAAGUGCUUCAGCAUUAGGAAUAUAGGAAGAACCCUUCUAGAUAAGACCAAAGUCUGUCUAAUCCAGCAUCCUGCUCCCAACAGUAUCCAGAUCUGCUUGUGGGAAGUUCCUAAGCAAUGUAUGAACGAAGGCAAUAGCCCUAUUUCAUUUUUCCCCCCCCACACAAUUGGAGGUUGCAUAGAGCUAUCAUGGCUAAUAGCUACUGAAAGAACCAUCUUCCAUGACUAUAUGUCUACUCUCCAGCCAUCUGAACCAAUGUCCACCAUCACAGCCUAUGACAGUGAAUUCCUUAUGUUAAAUUAUGUGCUGUGUGAAGUUUUUGCUGUUGUGGUUAUUGUUUUUGGACUAUCUUGAACCUAUCUACACUCAAUUUCAUAGGGGAUCCUGAAUUCUAGGACUAUGAAAAUGGAGGAAAAAAUCAUCUUACUCCUAUUUCUCCACACUGUUCUUAAAUGUAUUAAACCUCUAUCAAGUCCCCUUUGUCAUCCUUUUCCCCCCUAAACAGCCCCAAAUGCUGUACCCUUUUCCUACAUGAAUGUGCUCCAACACCAUGGUCAAUUGAUUGUCCUUUUCUGUCUUUCUUUCAGUAAGAUAUUCUUUUUAAAGUGACCGGAAUUAUAAACAAUAUUUUGAAUGCAACUAUACUAUUUUUUUACAUAAAGGCAGACCUGAUUAGCUUAGCCUGUGGCAGCUUCUACGAGAAAUCAAAAUAUGCAUAGUUCAUUCUCCUUUCUCACUUCUUUGUGGGAAAUUAAGACAAAAGUUGGGGUGGAGACAGAAGAAUGCCUGCAUCAGUAUAUCUGCAUUAUAGGGACAGAAGCAUGCCUGUAUCAGUAUAUCUGCAUUAUAAUUCCUCCGAGAUACAGAUGUUCAUGGUAAAAUUGGUAUAGGGGGCAUACAAGAAAAUAAAUUUGUUUCAUUAUCAA